UAAAACCUAAAUCAAAAGGCAUUUUUGUUCAAAUCUGCAGAAGGGAGAACGCCGUCCCCAGCCUCGGUCGCUUCAUCUUCGAGACCUCCGCCCAUUCAACUCCGUCUCGGACAGAGGAAAGGAGGGCGUCAGUGCUUCGCAAUGGUAUGGAGAUCGUGGAAGGAGUGUGUCGUGCGGGGCAACAUGCGCGACGUGCAAAGGCGACGUGCGCAAUACGCGGGUGCUGCUGUGGCGUGGGGCGAUAGUGGCGCUGAGGCUAUCGGCUAGUUAGGCUAGGGUUUACACAAUUGGCCUCGGGUGUAAUAGGCUUAGGUUUAGGGCCUAGUGUAUUGGGCCAAGGGUAUUUGGGCAAUGUUAUGAUUUUGGGUUGGUCUUAUUUUGAAUGGGCCGGGCAAAAAUGGGCUAUUACACCAAGUAUUACUUAUAUCAUAAUAUUAAUAACUUAAUAAAUUAUUUUUAAGAUUUUUAUUAUAAA